rnacentral:lncRNA from 1 species
GUGCGCGGCGCAGCGCGCGGCGUCAGUCUUGGCUGGCAGACCUGUACUCCGUACUCCGUACUUCGUAGUCGCAGCGGCGCGGUCUUCGGCAGUCUAGUCAUCCACCGCCAUCCUGGGCCCCACGUGUUGCCUGACCAUUCCUGAGCCCAGGUGGGAGCCGUGGCUGAGGUGACGGUCUCAAAGUGGAAGAGCUUACUGUCACAGCAACUCCUUUGCAAGAUGCCCCGGCCAGGAAUAGUUGCUGAACACCCCAGGCCUGCUGAGGUCCCUCCUUGAGUCUCAUGUUCAAGCAGUCUUGUGAGUAAAGCACUGGCUACCCCUUUUCACUUACUAUCUUUUCAAGCAUGUUCUACCACCUUGGAAGGUAAGAGGUUAGUACCUUCUUCCAGAGCAGAGGGCAGGCAUUCUUGCUGUGCGUUGUGAAAGGGUAGAGUCCUGCGCUCCUUUCUUGUAGUAGUCCAAUGGCUCAUGCAGGUGCCUCUGACUCCCCUAUGGGAACUGGGGCUUGGGAGGGUGGUGGAAAAUGCUGAUGCUCUGGCUAUUGCUAUUGUUUUGAAUAAUCAGUGGUCCCUUGUCCCUAAUCGAGGAAUUUUGUAUUUUCUACCAGUGUCCAUGAAACUGGGAGGCGACCGUGUUAGCUGCCAGUUCCUGACAGCCACCUCUCACCAGUGGCUUCACUCUGUGUCCCUGACCCAGCACAUGGCACAAGAGUGCCUGCCAUCCGUCAGUGUUUCUACAGCAGCAAUCCCAAGAUGCUGGAGCUAGAGGGGACCUGACCUGAGAGAAGAUACCUUCAGUGGCUGCCAGGCUGUUCCUUGGAACCUGUGCAGGGGUAAGUGUGCAGGAAGGUCUGACCUGGCAAGUCACUUCACUCCUGUUUUAUUUAGAGUCACCUGGCUAAUGAAAAGUAUUUUGACCUUCCCGUAUGGUAAGUCAGGUGAUUGAAUCCCAGAAAGGUUCAUUGUCUUCAAGCUCACAAUACUAUUUUGGGACAAACAGUUGUCUAGUGUUUGGACUCAUGAACCCUGAUUCUUGAGGGUGGUAUUUUACUGCUUUUGUGAUUUGGUUUCAACAUAUAUAGUCUUUUCUCCGGAGUUACCUUAGGUCAGUGGCCAGUGUUUCAGCCCCUGGAAAGGGCAUGGGCUGCCACUGAGGUUGGUCACAGGCCUCUCAGCUCAUGGUGGGAGUGGGUUCAGGAGUUGGUAAGUAGGGUUCAGUUCUGUUGUUGCCACCGAUGGCAACAGGGGUUUGUAAUAAUCCCUAGUUGUGUCAAUUAUGUCACUUAAUUUUCACAACAGGUCUCUGAAGUGUUUCUCAUCUCAUUUUUACAGAUGAGGCCUGCCUGUGUUAAUACACCUAGUGAGGAGUGGAGCUGAAUUUGAAUGCAAGCCUUGGCACCUUAAUUGAGCAAGUUUGAAACCUCGCUUGUUGCCCUUCUGGAAGGAGUCAGGAAUUUCCAGUUCUGGGCCUGGGCUGUGGGUCUGGCAGACAGACCUCUGGCCCUAGGUUUGGGUGCCAGGUUCUCUGCUUCCAGAAUGAGAAGCUUUGCUGUGCACCAGGACCUGGGCCCUUCUGGUAUCUCCUGAAUGAAAAACAAGGGAUAUUUAAUAAAUAUGGAUUUAAAUA